rnacentral:rRNA from 1 species
GUAGGGCGCGAGCGUUGUCCGGAUUUAUUGGGCGUAAAGAGCUCGUAGGCGGCUUGUUGCGUCGUCCGUGAAAACCUGGGGCUCAACUCCAGGCUUGCGGUCGAUACGGGCAGGCUAGAGUUCGGUAGGGGAGACUGGAAUUCCUGGUGUAGCGGUGAAAUGCGCAGAUAUCAGGAGGAACACCGGUGGCGAAGGCGGGUCUCUGGGCCGAUACUGACGCUGAGGAGCGAAAGCGUGGGGAGCGAACAGGAUUAGAUACCCUGGUAGUCCACGCUGUAAACGUUGGGCGCUAGGUGUGGGGGGCCUCUCCGGUUUCCUGCGCCGUAGCUAACGCAUUAAGCGCCCCGCCUGGGGAGUACGGCCGCAAGGCUAAA